ensembl:lncRNA
CUCCGGCAUUCCGAUUGGCCCUCUCCGAGAAAAGGGGCGGGGCCCCUCCUUACUAUGCGGUGCGGGGACCCAACAACAUUCCAGUCGUUAAGGCCACGCCCCGGGCCACUCCCCCCUCGUCGGGCUGCGGCCUCCCAGUCUCCUCGGCCACACCCCCUUCCCAACUACUUAAAAGGACACUCCAAAGCUCACGUUUCCCUCCUCUGUACCGGGGUGUUCUUGUCUGGGUAUCUCUACCCGCUUACGGUGGAAUGGUUGCGCCCUUCGGGUAGCCAAGCAAGCCUCCAGGCAUAAGUCAGGUCGGACCAGGAUGAGAGAGAGGCUUCGGGCAGUUGUUUUACUUCCUGCUUGGCGCUCGAAUUGUGGCCCCUUCGUUUCACGCUGCUUGCAGGAUCCUAGUUUCCCGAUCAGGGAUCGAACCUGUGUCCAGAGCAGUGAAAGUGUCAAGUCCUAACCACUGGACUGCCAGAGUACAUCAUGAGAAACGCUGGGCUGAAAGAAGCACAAGCUGGAAUCAAGAUUGCUGGGAGAAAUAUCAAUAACCUCAGAUAUGCAGAUGACACCACCCUUAUGCCAGAAAGUGAAGAGGAACUAAAAAGCCUCUUGAUGAAAGUGAAAGAGGAGAGUGAAAAAGUUGGCUUAAAGCUCAACAUUCAGAAAAGUAAGAUCAUGGCAUCUGGUCCCA